rfam:Callipepla squamata strain Texas jcf7180005229314, whole genome shotgun sequence.
GUCUAGUUCCAGCAGCACAUAUACAAAGAUUGGAAAGUUACAGAGAUUAACAUGGCUCCCGAGCAAAGAUGACAUGCAAAUUGAUUAGGAACUCAUUUUUUUA